rnacentral:rRNA from 1 species
GAUGAACGCUGGCGGCGUGCCUAAUACAUGCAAGUCGAGCGAACGGACGAGAAGCUUGCUUCUCUGAUGUUAGCGGCGGACGGGUGAGUAACACGUGGAUAACCUACCUAUAAGACUGGGAUAACUUCGGGAAACCGGAGCUAAUACCGGAUAAUAUUUUGAACCGCAUGGCUCAAAAGUGAAAGACGGUCUUGCUGUCACUUAUAGAUGGAUCCGCGCUGCAUUAGCUAGUUGGUAAGGUAACGGCUUACCAAGGCAACGAUGCAUAGCCGACCUGAGAGGGUGAUCGGCCACACUGGAACUGAGACACGGUCCAGACUCCUACGGGAGGCAGCAGUAGGGAAUCUUCCGCAAUGGGCGAAAGCCUGACGGAGCAACGCCGCGUGAGUGAUGAAGGUCUUCGGAUCGUAAAACUCUGUUAUUAGGGAAGAACAUAUGUGUAAGUAACUGUGCACAUCUUGACGGUACCUAAUCAGAAAGCCACGGCUAACUACGUGCCAGCAGCCGCGGUAAUACGUAGGUGGCAAGCGUUAUCCGGAAUUAUUGGGCGUAAAGCGCGCGUAGGCGGUUUUUUAAGUCUGAUGUGAAAGCCCACGGCUCAACCGUGGAGGGUCAUUGGAAACUGGAAAACUUGAGUGCAGAAGAGGAAAGUGGAAUUCCAUGUGUAGCGGUGAAAUGCGCAGAGAUAUGGAGGAACACCAGUGGCGAAGGCGACUUUCUGGUCUGUAACUGACGCUGAUGUGCGAAAGCGUGGGGAUCAAACAGGAUUAGAUACCCUGGUAGUCCACGCCGUAAACGAUGAGUGCUAAGUGUUAGGGGGUUUCCGCCCCUUAGUGCUGCAGCUAACGCAUUAAGCACUCCGCCUGGGGAGUACGACCGCAAGGUUGAAACUCAAAGGAAUUGACGGGGACCCGCACAAGCGGUGGAGCAUGUGGUUUAAUUCGAAGCAACGCGAAGAACCUUACCAAAUCUUGACAUCCUUUGACAACUCUAGAGAUAGAGCCUUCCCCUUCGGGGGACAAAGUGACAGGUGGUGCAUGGUUGUCGUCAGCUCGUGUCGUGAGAUGUUGGGUUAAGUCCCGCAACGAGCGCAACCCUUAAGCUUAGUUGCCAUCAUUAAGUUGGGCACUCUAAGUUGACUGCCGGUGACAAACCGGAGGAAGGUGGGGAUGACGUCAAAUCAUCAUGCCCCUUAUGAUUUGGGCUACACACGUGCUACAAUGGACAAUACAAAGGGCAGCGAAACCGUGAGGUCAAGCAAAUCCCAUAAAGUUGUUCUCAGUUCGGAUUGUAGUCUGCAACUCGACUACAUGAAGCUGGAAUCGCUAGUAAUCGUAGAUCAGCAUGCUACGGUGAAUACGUUCCCGGGUCU